rnacentral:lncRNA from 1 species
GAAAUGUAAACCAGGUUCCUUUUUAACAAUAUCCUCUCUCCGUUCAUUCUGUAAUUGUUGUAGAAAUGCACCCAUAUGUGAACUCUGCACCAUCAAUUCCAGCCCCCUGAAACAAAUGGCCAUCAAGUGGAACUCCAGGUUUGGUCCGUUUGGAUUUCGAUUAAAAUUCAGAGGAGUAAAAUGCAAUGCACUUCAAUUCUUAUCCAAAGGUGAAAAGAACAUCAAAGAGUCAAUCCAGGUUUGGUCCGUUUGGAUUUCAAUUAAAAUUCAGAGGAGUAAAAUGCAAUGCCAUUUCAGUUCUUAUCCAGAGGUGAAAAGAAUAUCAAAGAGUCAAACUUUAGGUAUAUCUAGAAUAACAGAAAGAAAAAU